CAAAGGAGCAAUCCGCUGAAAGAUGGGCUCGCGUCCGAUUAGGUAGUUGGCGGGGCAACGGCCCACCAAGCCGACGAUCGGUAGCCGGACUGAGAGGUUGAACGGCCACAUUGGGACUGAGACACGGCCCAGACUCCUACGGGAGGCAGCAGUGAGGGAUAUUGGUCAAUGGGGGAAACCCUGAACCAGCAACGCCGCGUGAGGGAAGACGGUUUUCGGAUUGUAAACCUCUGUCCUCUGUGAAGAUGAUGACGGUAGCAGAGGAGGAAGCUCCGGCUAACUACGUGCCAGCAGCCGCGGUAAUACGUAGGGAGCAAGCGUUGUCCGGAUUUACUGGGUGUAAAGGGUGCGUAGGCGGCUUUGCAAGUCAGAAGUGAAAUCCAUGGGCUUAACCCAUGAGCCGCUUUUGAAACUGCAGAGCUUGAGUGGAGUAGAGGUAGGCGGAAUUCCCGGUGUAGCGGUGAAAUGCGUAGAGAUCGGGAGGAACACCAGUGGCGAAGGCGGCCUGCUGGGCUCUAACUGACGCUGAGGCACGAAAGCGUGGGUAGCAAACAGGAUUAGAUACCCUGGUAGUCCACGCUGUAAACGAUGAUUACUAGGUGUGGGUGGGCUGACCCCAUCC
rnacentral:rRNA from 1 species